UACAGGGGGGGCAAGCGUUGUUCGGAAUUACUGGGCGUAAAGGGCUCGUAGGUGGCCAACUAAGUCAGACGUGAAAUCCCUCAGCUUAACUGGGGAACUGCGUCUGAUACUGGAUGGCUUGAGUUUGGGAGAGGGAUGCGGAAUUCCAGGUGUAGCGGUGAAAUGCGUAGAUUAGUUUGGAGGAACACCGGUGGCGAAGGCGGCAUCCUGGACCAAUACUGACACUGAGGAGCGAAAGCCAGGGGAGCAAACGGG
rnacentral:rRNA from 1 species